UACGUAGGGGGCAAGCGUUGUCCGGAUUUAUUGGGCGUAAAGAGCUCGUAGGUGGUUCGGUAAGUCGGAUGUGAAAUCUCCAGGCUCAACCUGGAGGGGUCAUUCGAUACUGCCGUGACUAGAGUUCGGUAGGGGAGUGUGGAAUUCCCAGUGUAGUGGUGAAAUACGUAGAGAUUGAGAAGAACACCAGUGGCGAAGGCGGCUAUCUGGACGGUUUCUGACGCUAAGACGCGAAAGCGUGGGGAGCAAACAGG
rnacentral:rRNA from 1 species